rnacentral:sRNA from 2 species
CAAGCACCUCGUUAGGCGAGGCGUCUGCAUGGACAAAGGCCACUGACCCCGAACGUCGAGAGACGCCCCCGGUCAGGACAGCUCUUCCCGGCUUAAGGGUUGAGCCCAAGUGGCUUUCGGAUCCCGGUCCGAAUACGCCGUGCAGUGCCGAAGCUGUGACGAGAGGGGUGCAUC